rnacentral:rRNA from 1 species
GUAGCUCUGGGCGCAGCCUGAUCCAGCAAUACCGCGUGGUUGAAGAAGGCCUUUCGGGUUUAUACCCUUUUGUUGGGAAGAAUCCUGCCGGCUAAUACCCGGUUGGGAUGACGGUACCCUAACAAUAAGCCCCGGCUAACUUCCUGCAGAGCCCCGGUAUCGAACCUAAUGAAACGCAUCGCGCCCUUUAAAGGGGGGGGGGGCGGAGGUACUAAUCGCAUAAAAAAAAUUCCUUAUCCUCUGAGCGCUUUUAACUUGCGGUCGGUCCUCAAUACUUCUUGGAGGGGAGUUUAUAAAGCCUUCCUACGUAUUACUCCCUCCAAUAUAUUUUUAAUGGUUUUUUUUGUACUCUUCUCCCCUCUUAUGUUUUGUUCCAUCUAGGAGUGGUUUUUUUGGUUCUCCCCCACAUUUU